GCCAAGUUAGCUUAGUUGGUAGUGCGUCUGCCUUGUAAGCGCUAGGCCGCGGGUUCGAUUCCCGCCCGGGGUG
rnacentral:tRNA from 1 species